rnacentral:lncRNA from 1 species
AUUCUUCCCUGUUCAUAGAUGUGCCGGGUGGCAGCACAGAGCCAUCUGCAGACACCUAGCAAACAGACACAAAAAAGAACGCUGCAGGGCUUGGCGGAAGAUCUGAGCCAUUUGCCUGGACGUUCUCCAUGCUAUUGUGAUCGGCCUCAUCUGUCUGAAACCUUGCUGACCCCGGCUUAUCUGGUGUUGGACCAAAUGACCCUGGAGUCUCUGCAUCUUCUUCAGGGUGACCUGUGCAUGUCUGCUAUCCCUGCCCCUGCCAGCCGUAGGCUGACCUCCACCUGACCCUCAACUGCAUGGGCCCUGAUGAGUCACAGGCUCCCUUCACAGAAGGAAGGUGGAAAAAGCUCACGUGAACGUUGCUUUCCUGUCCUUGGACUUCUGACAUCCCUCGGGCCAGCCCUCAGCAGUGAGCCAACCCGCAAGUCCUGCUCAGGAUCCAGUGGGAAGGCAGCUGUCCUCUUGGAUGAUCCUGGCACCAUAUUGGAAGGAGUCCAUCUGUGGAGGCCAUCAGAGAUUUGAUCACCUCAGCUGUUGUUCAGCUCCUCCGGGGACUGGGGGAAUUUUCGUGCCAUUGGUGUUGACAAUGACAUAAUCCUAGCUCUAA